rnacentral:lncRNA from 1 species
GAGACAGCAGUUUUCCCGACAGAGGCAACUGGCGCUGCCGAUUAAACAUUAGCAAAAUCAUCAGGAAAAGGCAGACCUCAAAGCUCUCCCUGUGCCAGGGAGCUCCGAAAGCACCCGAAGAAGAAGGAGUCAGGUGUCCCCGCGGAUACCGGCUUCCUUCCUCUUUCCAGGCAGCCCGGGCGCAGGCUCCUGAACCUCCCGCCCCCACCCCUGUUCCCAUGGCAAAGGAGAGGAGGAUCCACUUACUGCUCGUGUUCAUGGUGAUGCCUUUGCUCUGGGUCGUUCAUUCAAAACGGAGGCCCGGGUUGCUUUUUAAAUCUUGUGUUCUUCUCCUGGCCUCACUCAUCACCUAAGGGUGAAAAGGCAGAGCAGGGCCAGCUGUGUAUCCUCAGGUGCGCUCUCCCCCUGCUGGCCCCUCUCCGUCUGGGCUGGAGCCGCUGGCCUUUAAGGCGAGUGGACGAACAGGGCAGGUGAACAGAGAGGAGGGGCAGGCGAGGAGGACUCAGGUGCUUCGUCCUCAGCACCUGGGACCCGAACCCCGGGCAGUAGCGAGGCUGGCAGCGCCGGCUCGUGCGCACCCCGCGUUAUCCCAGCCGGCAGGCUGCGGAGCCCGAAGGGGGUGUGGACCACAGGGAGGCAGGGCGGAGGCAGCGCGUCCCCGCCCGGCCUCGGGAGCAGCGACCCGCCCCGGGACCCACCUCUUGUCCAGUUUUGGGAGCCAGAGGCCCCUGCCCCGGCCCCUGCAAGUGGCUCAUGAAUCCCGCUGGUCGUCUGGGGUCUGGGAUGCCAGGGCGAGCCAGGCGAAACCUGAGAGCUCGCCAUCCAUGAUGUGGGCUCGCAGCUUGGCAGCUCGGGGGGCGCGGCCGCUCGCUGCUGCC